AACGCCGAACCGCCUCUGAGGCGACACUCGCGGUCACGGGGCGGCAGCGGGAUCAGGGGUGAAGAGAAACGCUGAGCCAAGAUGGGAGGAACGGCGUGUCUCCUCAGGGGAAGGGAGAGAGGCCCCUCCACAAGGAGUGGGUCAGAGUGUGAGUGUGCCCUGUGUGAAUCGCUAAAAGAGAGAGCUGGGCUGGGACACAAUGGGACAGAAGGAGGUUUUCAGUGGCACUGGCAUCAGGAGAGCGUCUGAAGUGUGGCCUCACACCUCCGUUGGCUGUAAGAAGCUUCCAGGCUGUGGCGUGGCCAAGGCUGAAUGCAAAACGCACGUCACUGCCCGAAGUGGAAGUAAAACCUGAGUUAAAUGUGCUAAAACCGAGGCAGUUGGUUAAUAUUUUCCUCAUAAACUCAGGCCAGGGUUUGGAGGAAUGAGGGCUGCUAAAUUGGCUGAGUUGGGAACGUUGCCAUCUGAAGAAGAAUAGAUGGGGAAGAGAGAAAGAUGAGCAGAACGACCACCAAUCACAUACGAGACUUCAGAAAAAACUAUUAAAUUAAUAAUGACAAUUAAAGUCAUUUUAAUAUUGGAAGAAAAGGGGAUGAAGUUUACUCGAGGCAGAUCGUGCUUUAUUUUGCCUUGUCUGUACGGACAUGGAGAAUACCUUCAGUGAACUGUCACAUGGAAAUGAUCAGCAAUCCGUGUGGGAUGGGGAUUUUCCAUAGAACAGGGAAGUACCCACCUCAUAGAAUCACAGAAUGACCCGGGUUGGAAGGGACCUCAAGGAUCAUGUAGUUCCACCUCCCAGACAUGGAGAUGAAAUUUUUUACUGAACUUGCCAAAUUUAAUAAGAAAAAAAUCGUGAACUGGGGAUGGUUUGGCUUAUGAGCGGAUGACAAAACUAAACCACAGCUCAGUCCAGAAAGACUUUGUUCUCUGUGCAACAGGAAGACUACCACCUCCUCAAGUCAUAGCAGGCUCAUCUAGCGUUGCCACAGAGGAACAGGAAAAGUUAGCCACAGAGGAUUAAAAUCUGGGGAGGGUGCUCCUGAGCCCUACAUCAGCACAAGCAGGGCUGGCUGCCCGCCCAUCAAUCUGCACGCAUGUAUCUGUUCGCAGCAACACCAGCAGCCUGCAGUGAGCGAUGCCAGCACAGAAUGCCACAGUGCUGCGGGAGCACCGCAGCCUUGGAGCAAAGGGAUGUGACGUUGCACUCGUCUUUGAGAGCAAACAAAUGACAUCUUUAACCUGCAGAGGAGCAUAAGCCGAUCUGUGAGGCAAACAGCAGUAAAAAUGCUCGAUAGCUUUCCAGAUUUCUCAAAACAAGCCUCAGCUACACACUAGAAAUGGCAGGAAUACUGUAAAACACACGAGGACGGCUGUAAAGCUGCUUCAUCCGCAUAGUGUAAGCAUCGCUGCUCUACUGACUCCAUCGAAACAAUCAUCGAACCCUGAGCUUCUACAUCCUCUGCCUCCUCCCUUCCCCCAGCCCCCCCGAAGGAACGGCGUGCUCUGUACUUCCCUCUCAGCCUAUAAAGGUGUGGCACUCCCGUGGGUGUUACUGUCACUAAUCUCAUCAGGCACGAAGAGCGAGGUAUAAAAAAAAACACACAAAAACAACCUUUCGAUUCAGAAAGAAGGCAGCAGUAUCUGAAGCAAAUCGCUGUGCUGCCUCUUCUGCAACUGAUUUCCCUCUGGAGUUUACUGAAAUCGGUUGUAGCGAGGGGCAGAAUCAGAAAGGGACCGAAUCACUAGAAAACAAAGAUCUAAACGGAUCGAAGUGAAAGGCACCUUUCACAACCUGAGAACGAGCAAAGAAAGGCAGGAGGAAACGUAUCUCAAAGAACUCCGUGCUCCCCAGUGUGUGUUGUCCGAAUUCAUCCCACCGUGUUCACAAGCCCGUAGCUCUGUGCUUUCUUCGGAACUCUCGGGUUCUUUGAGGUCAUGUGCGCUCACCGGGUUCCCAGUGUCUGUCCGCCGAGAGGUGACGGGGAUGCAGACACUUCUCACUUCCCUAAGUACAGCAGUAGGGACGCCGGCUCGUUGGGUUUUUGACUUUCUCGCGCCCUGCUUCCAGUCAGAAGACGAGAUCUGUCUGAGAACAGGAAAAACUGUUUGGCUCCACUUCAGGUCACGGUUUCUCAUCUCCCUGCUACUUUGAGCCCCACUUCCUGAUCUUACACAAACGUUUCUCAGUGGGGGUCCCUUUCCAGUUUCACAGACAGGAGUUCCAAGUGAAGAGUCAGUGAAGCAGCCAGCUUAAAGUGGAACUUGAUAGAAAAAACCAACCAACCAACCAACCAACCAAAACCUGUUCUUCCUCCCACCCCACUGAUUUAUUUUGACAUGGAAUGAACACUGGAUCAGCAACCACAAAGCACUUUGUAUUUCAGUUUCACUGCAUUAGCGUGUGUCUUGAAGAUCUUUUCCAUGCUGAUACAGUGAGAUCUCAGGACUUCCUGCAAUUGCUCCGGGUGACCUCAGUCCACCACCUGUGCUGGACUGCUCUAACUUGCUUUGGAAUAUUGCUUGCUCAGUCCUUUCCAUUAUAUAUAACUUAAAAGGCUAUGGGCAACCUGGUCUGGUGGUUGGCAACCCUGCCCGUGGCAGGGCGGUUGAAACUAAAUGAUCUUUGAGGUCCUUUUCAACCCAGGCCAUUCUGCAAUUCUAUGAUUCUAAUAUUAACAACUUAUGCUAUGUGGUAAAAAAAUAUAUGUAUGUAUAAAUUUAACCUCGUUUCUGCCAUGCGUAAAAAGGUAUGCUAAAAUAAAUACUGGUUUAAAAGUUGUACGUGUAUCAAAAUAUGAAAUAUUUGAGAGUUACUCCCCUCAUCCCUUAUCUAAUUAUAGUAUUAAUGAGUAACAUGCUGAAUUUUGGCUGAGAUGUGGUAGCCACAGGAGAAUGGACUUCUGCACAGAUGAUCUCCUGACGUAACGUUUGCAGCAGGGGUGUGUUUCACUUUUAAUCAUACAAGCUGUCCACCUGAAGCCAAAAGGGCUAAUUCCCCACUGCGCUCAGCCCUGCUACAUGAAUAUGACCUCUUUUGCUUUGAUUGUGAGAGACUGCAGAUUAGUAAAAGAAUGUAUUUUUACAGUAAGGCUGGUGAGGCGCUGGAACAGGCUGCUCAGAGAUGCAGUGGAUGCGCCAUCCAUGGAGACACUCAAGGUCAGGCUGGACAGGGCUCUGAUUGAGCAGUGGGUGUCCCUGUUCCUUGUAGGGGACUCAGACUAGAUGACCUUUAAGGGUCCUUCCAUCUCAAACAAUUCUGUGAUCCUCUGAUUCUCUGUUUUGCCGUACUCCUGUCGUUCCAGUUUAAUAUGACUGCCCACUUGCCUUUAACUGUCCCAGUGUAAGAUUUUGCAGCAAUACAUUGAAUAUUUAGAAGUCACUUUGUCUUUAUGAUUGGUAAAGUGACCCCAUUUAAUGGCCAAAGAAAAAAAGGCUCUGGGAUGUGGCUACAACCCCACAAAGAAACUUGCUUAUGCAAAGUCACAUUGGGAACUUCUUUCAUGUAGUUUCAAGUAUCAAGCCCUUAAUAUUUGAAAAUACACAAUAAACAUACAGCGGGCAUUGCCGAGUAUGGAGGUUAAUAAAAAUACAGCCCGGCAUUAACAUUAAAAAGGCUCUAAUUUUUUUUUUUUUCUUAGCAGGUAAUUAGUUCACACAAAGAAAUCUCCUUUCUUAUCCUGGAAACGCAUGCAUAAAACAGCUCAGAUAACAUCAUUUACAUACGGGCUGCUGCAUACGCAUGUUAAUGUCUGGCUGUGAAAAGUUCAGACAAGUUUGUAAUCCCAGAUUUCCUGCGCGUGCUCAGCACCCAGAUUCCCAGAAAGGCCGAGGUGCGGGGCACCGCAUGUUGUUGAGAUGGCAGCCCGGUGGCCUGGGCUGCACAUGGACCUGCGAGCUACGCGCUUUCCCAGAGUGCAACACAUCGGACAGUUGUGGGCAUUUUAGACACAUAUUGGCAUUUGUGUGUUGCAGUUUCUUUUGUCAGUCACUUCAGCUUGUGGCCGUCUCUCUAAGCCUAUUGUGCCACCUCCGCUUGCUUUUUCAGGGCUACUGUGUCACUCACUAUUAGAACCAAUCUGCUUUUGCAUUUUAACACUAUCAUGUCACCCAUCAGCAAUCAUUCGCUUUUAUCCCCUAAAACUUCUGCACAAUGGCAGCCACGCCACUGGGACAAAAGCAGAGGCAGUGAGGAAAAAGGAGGGAAAAAAAAGGAGGAGAGAGCGGGAAGGCUGCAGCAGCAGCUGGCUCUGUGCUUUGGGGUCCUUCAGUGUGUACUUGAACUUGGACUGUGGUGGAUGUGCGUUCAUCUUCUGUUUCCCUCCUUAGCACAACGUACCUCUCUGGUGAUGGAAAUAGGCGUGGACUGGCUGCUUCUGUGUGAAGGCCAACAGGUAGCAGCGCUGUUUUUGUGCCUACAGAAAGCUGCAGGAAAAAGGGAGGGCUGUGUGAGGGACAGCCUUGUGCUGCGGUAAUAUUGAUUGCUUGCAGCACUCCUCAAAACAAGAAUCCAGCUUGCCGGGCACCUUUAAAACCAGCAGGAUGCAUCCCUACUGCUGUUGGAGGAGGGUAUCUGCAAGCCUGACAGCUGCGUUCAGACAGAGAUGCAGUUACAGCAUCAGAGGGUUUGGGAAUCAUCUUUCAAGUGCAGAGUGUUCAGGAUUUAUCUCGGAUUUGCAUGUGUAUACAGUCGCCCUCCCAGCGGUUUAGAGCUAUCAGAUGAGCAGAGAUCUCAGACUUCUCAGACUGCCUGUAGUUAGUUGCCUGAAAAUGAAGAAGGUGGGGGUCCUGCUCGAAGGUGAAAUAACUGAAGUGCUUUAGCCUGGAACCAGACUCAGCUGGGAAAGAUGCAUGGUAAUUCAUGCAGAGCACUCCUCUGAAAUAGGCAUGGCUCAACACGAGGCUUUGGACUCCCACCUUUUACAAACAUGACCUUACUGUGUUUCCCUGGGACUGUAAGAUUUUAAUGAGGUAAAAAUGACCAAAAUGUCAUGACCUCUAGUUUUCUUCAUCCUAAAUUCUCGAUAGUUAAUGAAAUGAAGCUCAGCUACGUUGUAUUUUGCUGAUUCCACAGAGGGGAACAGUUUAAGAUCACGAAAGAAAAGGUUUAAAUAAAAUUCUGUGAGCUCAGGGUAAUUUUUCCCCUGUACACCAAAAGGAUCAGAUUCUAUAAGCAAGGAAUAUACAAGCAAUUGGAGUAUAAGCCCCUUCUUCACCAACAUAAUUUGCUCAGUGGUUGAGGCUGAUUCUUCAGUAACUACCACCUUGCAAAUAACCAUCAGCAUCUUAUUUGUUAUCCUGGCAUUUCGUAUUUAUGACAGUACUUCUUGUCUGUAGCCGUGAUACUCUAGAGCCAGGACUUACAGAAUACUGUAGUUGUGUCGAUAAAAAAGAACAGACAAAUGGCUUUUUCACAGGAGCUUUGGAUCAAAUGCUUGCAGGUUUCCAAGCAAUCUCCGUACUCAAGGAUGACCAUUCAGGCAGUCCUCACUCACACUCGAGUUCACAUUAGUGCUGUAUUGGCCCCUGUGUGUGCCAAGUCUCUGAGACAGCCCCCAGGCAAGAAAUCAAGCAUAGAAAUAAUCACUCAGAAACAUUAGAAAACAGUCAUCAGAACGUUCCUUUUUUUCCCCUGUCUAGGUAAGAUCUUUACAGUACUUAAAGAGAAACAGUCACUAAUGGCUCCUUCCAGAACUGCUGGGUGAGCAUGAAAAUACUACAAAGUAAUUUAUCUUAAAAGCAAAAACAUCUGAAACAGCUUCCUCACUCCUCUGUGGGAUUUUACCAAGAAGAAACCUGCACAACACACAGCGUGGUCCGCUGCACGUGCACUGCAAAGCCUGAGCAGAAGUUCCUAUUGUGGUGGGGCAACAUUGCUGAGUGUUGCUGAAUUUCUUUUGCAAUCACUUUGAGAUGUUCUCCUGUCAGUCGGUGGUGGUUUAUCUGCAAUUUCUACUUGUUUGUACUUACUGAGCACACCCACUCAUUAUUUGAUGGUUAGCCCCAGCUAAUCAGUCAGGAGUAAAUUUUGCUGCUCCUAUGUAUAAAGUUGAAUCUGCAGGGCCUGCAUUUCUUUUUCUUUUAAACCACACUGAUUUCACCUUCAAAAGAGGAAGAGAGUGUUUCCAUUUUUAGUCUGCAAUUCUUUGAAGUCUUCCCGUUCCAUUGAAUAGGGGGUCUGGAUAGAAUUUGACCAAAAAAAAAAAAAAAAAAAAAAAAAUCAAUUCCUUAUUUUAGGUUUGGUUUCAGCAAUAAAGAAGUUAAUGAGAUCACAUCUGUUUUUGUCCUGCUAUUCUCUACAGCAGUCCACUGGAAACGGCACCACUCGCCCACAGCCUUUUCUUUUAUACCAAACAGACUAACCCAGCCUAAAUAGUGUCUUUAAACACAUCCAUAGCAAGGCUGAGACAUGAAUCAAUCGAUCACCAGCCGCCGUGGUGAUGUCACUUAACCCGUAGCUACAAUUACCAGUUGCCUGCAGUUUCACAACAGCAGCCAGCUGAUGGAUUUAGGCAGACCUUAAAAACAUUUUCUUUGGCAUAGGACGGAGUGGAGAAACAUCUCCAAAAACUACCAAGAGCUUCAUUCUGUAAGUAACGUUUGAACACAUCUGGAACAGCUGGGUAAUAAGUUGUGCGUGUCAAGUUCAGAAAACAGCUGCUUUUAGCCUUCGCUUUGGGCCAGACGUUUGCUUUCUGACACCAGAGUAUAUUCUAUUUUAUUUUGUAGCAGCUUCUUCAGUGUUCCCAUAUGGACAAGCUGAGCAGCUCCAGGAAUACAACUGCAAGUAUAUACAUGCCGUUCUUUAGCAGAGAUGAAGGCCAGAUGUUGCUUUGUCAUCUUCACAUGCAUCUUUAAAAAAGUUAAAUGAAGUUGUUUCAUACAUACAAUUAAUGCCAGGUAUAGGCAAUUUGCUCUUAGGCUGUUUAAAAGCCAACUUCCUAAAAGAUGGAAAAUAACAACUGAGAAUUCAAACCCUAGGAUAACUUCAGGAAAUAAGUACAGCAGAAUCCAGGAUCACAGAGAUGGAAAUGUAUUGUGCAGAAAAGACACGGUGGCUUAUUUCUGAGAUCUGAAUGAGUACUAUUUAUGCUUUUACUAGAAAAUAAUUGACCUUAUUGUUAAAGUGCAGCGUGAAGUUCCACGUAAAGCCUAUCAAAGCCGCCAUGACCAAAAGCCUUCCACUCUGCUGCUUUGCUCUCCCAGGAUAUAACCCGACCCACCCGUUCAAAUACUGGAGAAUUUAAUACAUCUACAGCUAGCAGCGUAAUGCACACAGAUUCUUUGUGUGUGCACUCCUGGUUUCUACACCUCUUGGAUCCAGCAGGGUGAGCAAUGAUUCUUUCCCAGUCUGUGCAAUUAGAGAGAUUUAGAUAAAAACAAACUGCUUUUCAUUUUUUUUUUUUUCCUGAUUUUGUGAAAAUUGGACUUUACUGUAUUCGUUUUAUGACAGACAUUUAUAAGGAAGUAUUAACUGAAGGUUACUUCUCCCCCCUUCAGUAACAAUACAUAUAAUGUUUGGGCUUGCACUGUCGGCUGAGGCCCUGCUCUGUGGGACAGUCCAGCGACAUACAAAAACUGCCAAGACACCAACCGUAACUUUUUGAGUUAUGUCACUUUAUUGGGGGAGUGAAAAGAAUCACAUUCUCUAGUAGUCUUGGAACAAUGCAAAUGGUGAACAGAAGACAAAAAAUAGAUGUAAUUGGUUCCGAAAAGCAUGAACAUCUGUAGAGAAUGUGUUGCAUUAUUCCUAAGGACUCUUGCUUUUGAAAAAAAAAAAAAAAAAAAAGUACAUGUUCUGUAUAUAUACAAGUGUCAGUGCAAUAGCCAAUAAAGCAAUCGAUCAGAAAUAUAAAAAUAUCCUAGAUACAAACUUAAAAAGAUGCUUGAAAGCCGACGAUAUCAGUAUUCUGAUAUUUCUGUAUCUCAGAGUACGAUCACCGGGAUGAGCCGUUCUGAUGAGGUAAAAGACAGUAAAUGCCCUGUGAGAACGCAGAGCCAUUAAUUCUCUUCCAUAAGACAAAAAGAUUGAGCACCCAAUGAAACGGCAUGUCUUCGCUGCAAGCGCCCACAGGAAGCGAAGUUACAGUCUGUGAGCGUGACUGCAUUCCUGCACCAUUCGUGCCUGCCAUCUUUGCCAAGAGUUACACCAGCAAAAACUUGCAAAUUCUCCCAUGCCCCCCCAAGCUGAGCAUAAACUGCACGCACUGUGCAGACACACCAAACUGACAGCUGCUUCAAACGCAGACAAGAUCUACAAAUGUCCAAAAACCACUUAGUCAUUCUUUCCUUUAUUGGUUGCAAAUCUUUUCUUUUUUUGGCAGUGAGGACAGAAAGAGAUCACAAAGCUUGACAGCAGAACAGCUCUCUGUGUAAGAGUUAGGGAGGGAACAGGGUGUGUUAUAUUUGUUUUGCCUCAGGUGUUCCAGUGAUGCCACUGAACUUAAAUCUCAGCUGGCUGAGCUAUAAAAAUCACAUUCCUCCUGUUCUGCAUUUUGGAUGGAAGGACGUGCUAAUCUGGGGCUCUUGUUCUAUAAAAAGAGGAAGGGCUACUUGGUCAAACUUUCAGCUGCAUGCUGUCUGCCUGCACCGUGAUUCAUCUCUUUCCUUCCGCCACCUCUUUCACUAUGACCCUCCAAGCUCCGCCACUUCUUUCUGCCUCCCAGUUCUUUUCAAAGAAGAGGCAGAGCAAUUAGGUAGUCAGUGUGCUCUGUGUCUCUGUGGCAUAGAGCCCCAGACAGAACUGAGAGCAGAGCUGGGAGAGGCAGGAAUGUACAGCAAACACAACCUCCUCCUCAAGGUGGUAAUGAUAAGGAGUUAAUUUCAAACCAUGUGUCAAUUUCAGGCACUCCUCUUUGGAAAAGCACAAUGAAUUAUAGAGUCUCUAGUACCUUAAGAUUAACUUGAAUGGGCUAUGAUUUGUGUGAUAGAAAGAGCACAAUGAGAGCUGGCAGUUGCCUUCUUAAGAAACUUUCCUUACUACUUAUGGCACGCACAUGCACUGAAGCACACAGCGGUUGCUCGAAUCUUUAAAAGGUUUCUUAGCUUCACAUUUUAGACUCAAAAGCUUGCCCUUUAAAUCAUUUCAUUUUUCAUCAUUCCUUUCUAAACCUCUUGUCUCAGGCAAAUUCAGACAGCUGCGUAAGAAGAAGUGAAGCCAGCAACAUCUGUAGGAUGAUGACACUUGACAAAUGGCCUUGGGUUUUCUUUCGGUUUCUGGAAGAUGCUUUGCAGAUGUCAGAGCCUCAAGGAAUCACCAUACGUCUCUCCUUAGCCUUGCUGAAUGUGGCAUUCGAUGUUUCCAAACACUGAGUGACUGCUUGCCACACCUCAGCAAGGCGGGCUAUUCCGUCUCAAAUAAACAGGCAGGAAAUGGAGGCACGCAGAAUGACUAAGCGAUUAUUCCAACAUGGUGAUACAAGCCCGGGAGAGUCAGGAGCUGAACCUGUAUUUCUUGCAUCUCGAUCUCGCGUUGUCUUUUUGUCGUGUGUUGCAGCCUUAUUCUUUCCUGUAGAGGAAGACUGGAAUCUUAAGAGUCUGUCAUGCUACUCUGGUUGACAGGUGGUGUCGCCAGUGAGAUAAGAUUGUUGCACUCCCCACAUCAAAAGGUGGAAUAUGCUGUAUGACAUCUGCUUGCUGGAAGAAAUACUAACCAUACCAGUCCUUAAGAACAUCAACAUUUAUUUCUUAUGAUAUAAAAGAAAUGGGUUAUGAACAUUCUUAUCUGAACAAUAAGUGGCUUCUUUACUUACAUCGCAUGUGCUCAUUGUAUAAUAUAUAUACAAUGAACAUAAUUACAUUUGUACACAAACUAAGUACUGGACUGAGAACCUGCUUAUUGCUGUACACACGCUAACCCAACAAAGGAAAAGCCCAGUACCUCAAAAUACCUACACUCCAUUUUAUUUAAGUAAAAGUAAGCACUGACAUUGAAGUAUAUGUUGACAGAAGUGUGGCAGUAACUGCUGACAUUUCAACCUGACCAAGGAAUAAUUACAACAGAAACGGAACAUCUUUUACUAAGCAAUAAUAAAAAUGGCACAUUUUAAAUAUAUCUAUAUGUAUAUAUAUAUAUAAAAAUUUUACAAAUAAAAUGUUAAAACAAUAAAUUGUAGUGUUUAAAAAGUGUAAAACGGGGUUUUAGUGGUGAUAUGUAAAAUUAACUGAGUUAUGCAUCUAAAAGAAGCCAAAAAGUAAACUUAUGUGAUCCAUAAUUAAAAGAACAUUAAAUUCUGGAAAAUAAAGUCCUGACUAUAGGCUGCACACUGAGAAGAGCCUUUAUUGGAUGUGCACAGAAAUCAUAGCAGCAAGCUGGUAUCAGGAGAACGAUCUGAAGGUUGUUGAGUGUACAUAUGGGCCAUUUAAAGCUCUCUUGGAAUAAACAUUUUCCAGGAAGUGAUAAAAUGAUGCUCUGCGGCCAAAAGCAUCAGAACUAUGAAUUUCAUAGAUUUAAAAUAUACUGUACAAUAUCUUCUCACAUUUCCAUAGGUCGGGUCCAUACAUCUCAGGCAUGAAUUGUUUCAACAGAAGUCAUUAGAGCUGGAAGACAGACACAGGUUAGGUUACCGCAUUUUAGCAACAACAGAAUAUUGUAUAACACAACUCCUGGGAUUCAACGCAGCACGGAAUGUCUGACCUCAUCCUAGCAGCAGUUAUCACUGAUGUAGAACACAAUAAACUAUCUCAGAAAUAAGCUGUUCCCAAAAUUAGCUGUCCAGAAAAUUCUUUGUCAGCAAGAAGCAUAAGUAAAGCUUUUUCAACUUUACGCAGCUAGGAAAAUGUCUUUGUUCUCAGAGUUUUAUCUUGUUGAACACAGUCAGCUCCAAACACCUUCCAUAUAGAACCAGGGACAGUGGCAAAGGCCCUCACUGCUUUGACAAACGCCAGGUGCUGUUUGCAGCAGACACAGCGCUAUCCCUGCAUGAGGCUGUGCUGGCAGCAUCACUACCCGCGUGCUGAAGUUCCUGUGCUCAGUCCCAGGCUUGCUGCCUUUUGGUUACUACUGAAGGGACUUCUAUAAAUAGCUGUUAGCAAUUUGUUGGUAAAAGUUAUUUCUGAGCUGCAAAAAUUUCAUUAUCCCUAUCCUUUUCAUUAUCCCUCCACUACUCAGCUUGAAUGCAAUGCUUAAAAUGUAACAAUGUCAGAGGUACGCAUCCAGAAUGUGCCUCUGCAACGCAAGGUCCGUAGCAAAGAAAGCAGCUUUGUAUUAAUGGGUUUUCCCU